rnacentral:rRNA from 1 species
GACGAACGCUGGCGGCGUGCUUAACACAUGCAAGUCGAACGGAAAGGCCCGGCUUUUGUGGGUUGCUCGAUUGGCGAACGGGUGAGUAACACGUGAGUAACCUGCCCUUGACUUUGGGAUAACUUCAGGAAACUGGGGCUAAUACCGGAUAUGAUCUCCUGCUGCAUGGUGGGGGUUGGAAAGUUUCGGCGUUUGGGGAUGGACUCGCGGGUUAUCAGCUUGUUGGUGGGGUAGUGGCUUACCAAGGCUUUGACGGGUAGCCGGCCUGAGAGGGUGACCGGCGACAUUGGGACUGAUAUGCGGCACAGACUGCUACGGGAGGGAGCAGUGGGGAAGCUUGCACAAUGGGCGGAAGCCGGAUGAAGCAACGCCGCGUGCCGUAUAACGGUCUUCGGGGUGUAAACCGAAUUCGCCUGUGACGAAGCGUGAGUGACGGUAAUGGGUAAAGAAGCACCGGCUAACUACGUG